CACAGUCGUGCCGGUUGGUCGUGUCAUCUCGCUCCUUCUAGUUGUCGCUUUUCAUCAGUUUUUACUGAAAACAUGUGCAUUGUUGCUCUGUUUUGUGUGUGUGAGAUUUGUUAGGACUCAUGAGGCAAGGAGCCAGGAACAAAACCAGAGUUUUGGAUUGGGGAUGCCUUUGAAAGAUGGAGACGAUUGAAGGCGAAGAAGAUUUUUUUCAUCUGACGCCAAACUCGCUAAUUUCCUCCUUCAUAGGGGGUCCGGUCCGAUCCGGUGGCCAUGUACUGCUUGCCUGUGUAUCGGCUGAGGACAUCUCUGCGCUGCUGAUCCACCUCCGCUUGGGAUGGUUUCCUGCUGGCUCCGCUGUGAACGGGACUCUCGCUGCUGUGUUGGAUCCGCUUUGAACUGGACUCUCGCGACUGUGUUGGAUCCAUUAUGGAUUGAACUUUCACAGUAUCAUGUUAGACCCGCUCGACAUCCAUUGCUUUCCUCCUCUCCAAGGUUCUCAUAGUCAUCAUUGUCACCGACGUCCCACUGGGUGUGAGUUUUCCUUGCCGUUAUGUGGGUCUACCGAGGAUGUCGUAGUGGUUCAUGUUGUGGUUUGUGCAGCCCUUUGAGACACUAGUGAUUUAGGGCUAUAUAAGUAAACAUUGACUGAUUGAUUGAUUAACAUAUAGGCUAAGGGGAGAAAUAUAUGUUUGUUAGCUUGUAUGUCGAUGUGUCAUCCAACUGUCUGGGAAAAAUAUAUUUUUGCAAAUAAAACCUAUGUGGAUAUGGGUAGUGUCAGUGCCUAUUUCGUUCUCAAUAUGCCGAUAUGCUGAGGAAAUGUGUUGCAACAUUACCACGGCUAAUUGCAGUUUCUGGUACUGGGUGUGCAUCAAACACAUAUGGGGUGGUAUUUGUUUGUCACAAUAUAAUGCAUUGCAUGUAAUAAUUUUCUACUUUGUGUAUUGACAUGGUAGUAGGCUAUAUAAUUUAUACGGAAUAUGUUUUUGCGUAGUGUGUGGCUCAUAGAAUUGCACUCUGCACUGAAAGAUGGUGAUGUGUGUACAUGGAAGAGAAUGCAGUGUGUCAGGUUGGAUGCAACAUGGAGUUAUGCUGAAUGAAAUGUGGCGGUAAUUUUACUGUUGGCCUUGGCUUGGCAAGGUAAGCUUCAGUGUGUGAA